CUGGAUAUUUUCAUUUUCUAAUUAAAUUUCAUAAUGCAUGUCAGAUGAAAUGUAAAGUUAGUGUAUUGGCUGAAUAACUUGGUUGAUUGACUGACUACAUUGUGUAUAAAAAAAAAAAACUAUCUAAGGUAUCACCCACCAAAUGGUUUAGUCCAUCUGCACGCAUUUUGUUUAUGUUAGUUCAGUUGAGCAUCUGGUGGAGCGCAAACUUCUGCUGUAGAAAUGUCUUUCUCAAAGAAAGCCAAAUCAGGUUACCAAUAAGAAAGGAAAGACAGGAGAAGGAGAGAAAACUAAAUGAGGAGAAACAAUUGGUAACUGACUUCUUUUCAAAGAAAGUUUCAGAAACUGUCCCACCAGGGAGUGGAGUAGCAACAGACCCCUCAUCCUCCUCUUUGGAUUUGAGACAAGGUGAGCUUAUAUCAAUAUUAAAGCAAACCAUGUUUAGCCAUUUUGACUGAAAGGUGUUAAGUAACACUAACAUCUUAGUGUGUUUAAUUAUAUAUUAGGUUACAAUUAGGAUAAGAGGUUAAUAUCAAAUGUAUCCUUCAUAGAGAAAGAUGAUAGAGACGAUCUGAUUGAGGAUGAUGGGAGUGACGACAACAGGGAUGCAUGAGUGUUGUUCUGAGCACAGUGUGGAAAUGAGAGAUGAGGAACUGGAAAGUAGGCAGAGCAGUGCAGACCAGUUUUUGCCAGAGGAUCCAGGACUAUGGCCAGAUAAAUUAACAGAUGAUCAGAGAGACACCAUAGUACGCAGGCUGGCAAGUAAAGGUACAGA